CAAAGAUCCCAGAGCCCGGGCGCUGGGCUCUUGAGAACCCGCAAGACGACCGCCAAGGCGCACGCACAGCUCACCUUCCCGCCCAGCACGUCAGAAGACCCGAGAUUCCGUGUGUGCCACCGCACCUUCCGGUUCCCGCCGGAAGUUUUUCAAACGCCGGAAGGUCCGCCUCGCUUCUUCCGGACCAAGUUAGCCACGGACCUCCAAGGCGCGGCGCUACCAGGACGGGGCGGAGCCAGGCUGUUCUAUGGUUCUGUUGGAAGUCAAAAUCUAGUAAGAGCAGAGCAUCUGAUAUAUUUGUGUCGUUCCUUAUAGAGCAAUUUCAUCAACAGGAAGAUUGUGAAGUUGGCAUGAGCCCAGCUCCUGAUGGAUAG
rnacentral:lncRNA from 1 species